rnacentral:rRNA from 1 species
AUGCUUUGGGGAGCUGUACGUAAGCGUUGAUCCAGAGAUUUCCGAAUGGGGGAACCCACUAUCUUUAGUCGGAUAGUAUCCUUACGUGAAUACAUAGCGUGAGGAAGGCAGACCCAGGGAACUGAAACAUCUAAGUACCUGGAGGAAGAGAAAGAAAAAUCGAUUUCCUGAGUAGCGGCGAGCGAAACGGAAAGAGCCCAAACCAAGAAGCUUGCUUCUUGGGGUUGUAGGACACUCUAUACGGAGUUACAAAAGAAAGUUAUAAAUGAAGCGGUCUGGAAAGGCCCGCCAAAGACGG